rnacentral:rRNA from 1 species
CCUACGGGAGGCAGCAGUAGGGAAUCUUGCGCAAUGGGGGAAACCCUGAAGCAGCAACGCCGCGUGGAUGAUGAAGGUUUUCGGAUUGUAAACUCCUUUUGUUAGAGAAGAUAAUGACGGUAUCUAACGAAUAAGCACCGUCUAACUCCGUGCCAGCAGCCGCGGUAAUACGGAGGGUGCAAGCGUUACUCGGAAUCACUGGGCGUAAAGAGCGCGUAGGCGGGAUAGCAAGUCAGAUGUGAAAUCCUAUGGCUUAACCAUAGUACUGCAUUUGAAACUGUUAAUCUAGAGUAUGGGAGAGGUAGGUGGAAUUCUUGGUGUAGGGGUAAAAUGCGUAGAGAUCAAGAGGAAUACUCAUUGCGAAGGCGACCUGCUAGAACAUAACUGACGCUGAUGCGCGAAAGCGUGGGGAGCAAACAGGAUUAGAUACCCUUGUAGUC